GCGAUAAAGUGGGUGAAAAGCCCGCUCGCCGAAAGCCCAAGGUUUCCUACGCAACGUUCAUCGGCGUAGGGUGAGUCGGCCCCUAAGGCGAGGCAGAAAUGCGUAGUCGAUGGGAAACAGGUUAAUAUUCCUGUACUUUGAUUCAAUGCGAUGUGGGGACGGAGAAGGUUAGGUUAGCAAAC
rnacentral:rRNA from 1 species